GACGAACGCUGGCGGCGUGCCUAAUACAUGCAAGUCGAGCGAAUCAACAGGAGCUUGCUCCUGUUGGUUAGCGGCGGACGGGUGAGUAACACGUGGGCAACCUGCCUGUAAGACUGGGAUAACACCGGGAAACCGGUGCUAAUACCGGAUAAUCCUUUUCCUCCCAUGAGGAAAAGCUGAAAGCCGGUUUCGGCUGACACUUACAGAUGGGCCCGCGGCGCAUUAGCUAGUUGGUGAGGUAACGGCUCACCAAGGCGACGAUGCGUAGCCGACCUGAGAGGGUGAUCGGCCACACUGGGACUGAGACACGGCCCAGACUCCUACGGGAGGCAGCAGUAGGGAAUCUUCCACAAUGGACGAAAGUCUGAUGGAGCAACACCGCGUGAGCGAUGAAGGCCUUCGGGUCGUAAAGCUCUGUUGUUAGGGAAGAACAAGUACCGGAGUAACUGCCGGUACCUUGACGGUACCUAACCAGAAAGCCACGGCUAACUACGUGCCAGCCGCCGCGGUAA
rnacentral:rRNA from 1 species